AUUGAACGCUGGCGGCAUGCUUUACACAUGCAAGUCGAACGGUAACAGGCCGCAAGGUGCUGACGAGUGGCGAACGGGUGAGUAAUGCAUCGGAACGUGCCCAGUCGUGGGGGAUAACUACUCGAAAGAGUAGCUAAUACCGCAUACGAUCUAUGGAUGAAAGCGGGGGACCGUAAGGCCUCGCGCGAUUGGAGCGGCCGAUGUCAGAUUGGGUAGUUGGUGGGGUAAAGGCUCACCAAGCCAACGAUCUGUAGCUGGUCUGAGAGGACGACCAGCCACACUGGGACUGAGACACGGCCCAGACUCCUACGGGAGGCAGCAGUGGGGAAUUUUGGACAAUGGGCGCAAGCCUGAUCCAGCAAUGCCGCGUGCAGGAAGAAGGCCUUCGGGUUGUAAACUGCUUUUGUACGGAACGAAACGGCUCUGGUUAAUACCCGGGGCUAAUGACGGUACCGGAAGAAUAAGCACCGGCUAACUACGUG
rnacentral:rRNA from 1 species